rnacentral:rRNA from 1 species
AUGGAGAGCGACCGCCAGUUCCUGCUGGCGCCGCCGCCGCCCAUGCACGCCGCGGCGGGGGACGACGGCCACUUCCUUCAGCAGCAGCAGCUGAGCGGCGGCGGCGGCGGCGAGAGGAAGCGGCGGUUCACGGAGGAGCAGGUGCGGUCGCUGGAGAGCACGUUCCACACGCGGCGCGCCAAGCUGGAGCCCCGGGAGAAGGCGGAGCUGGCGCGUGAGCUGGGGCUGCAGCCGCGCCAGGUGGCCAUCUGGUUCCAGAACAAGCGCGCCCGGUGGCGCUCCAAGCAGCUGGAGCAGGACUUCGCGGAGCUGCGCGGCCAUUACGACGCCCUCCGCGCCCGCGUCGAGUCGCUCAAGCAGGAAAAGCUCACUCUCGCCGCGCAGCUGGAAGAGCUGAAGAAGAAGCUGAACGAGCGGCAGGACCAGAGCGCAAGCUGCGACGCCGCCGCCGAGGUGGACGACAAGAGCAACAACGUUAGCAGCUGCAUCGUGGCGAAGGAUGAGAGCGCGGCGCCGGCGGCAGACGUCUCGGACGGCUCAACUCCGGGCUGGUACGAGUAUGACAACCACCUGGCGUAUGGGGUUGACCUGCAGGAGCCGUUCUGCGCCACUCCGGAGCUGUGGGAGACGUCAUGGCCGCUGGUGGAGUGGAACGCAGUGGCAUGA